AAAAGUAUCGGUAGGGGAGCAUACUCACAGCGUCGAAUGGUGUACGUAAGUUAUCCUGGAGCGGUGAGUAAAGCAAAUGUAGGAAUAAGUAACGAUAAGGAGGGUGAGAUUCCCUCCCGCUGUAAGACCAAGGUUUCCCGGGCAAUGCCAAUCAGCCCGGGGUCAGUCGGGUCCUAAGUCUAAGCCGAACGGCGAGGGCGAUGGCAGAGACGGUUAAUAUUCCGUCACUGCCGCAUGGGGCGACGUGGAGACGGAGCAGUGAAACCACCGCGGGGCGACGGAAGUCCCCGUUGAAGGGUGUAGGUUAUGAGAUGGGCAGGCAAAUCCACCCGUUGAGCCGAACCUGACAGUACGGAGUCCUCCUCGGAGGAGUCCGAUAGCGUGGGUAACCAUACUCCCGAGAAAAUCCGCUAAGCUUAACCCAUGCGGCACCCGUACCGCAAACGGACACACGUGGUCGGGUAGAACAUACUAAGGCGUUGAGAGAUUCAUGGUUAAGGAACUAGGCAAACUGACCCCGUAACUUCGGGAUAAGGGGUCCUCGUGAUGAGCGAGGCGCAGAGAAUAGGUCCAGGCAACUGUUUAACAAAAACACAGGGCUGUGCAAACUCGAAAGAUGAAGUAUACAGCCUGACACCUGCCCGGUGCCGGAAGGUUAAGAGGAGAUGUCACACGCAAGUGGAAGCAUUGAAUUGAAGCCCCGGUAAACGGCGGCCGUAACUAUAACGGUCCUAAGGUAGCGAAAUUCCUUGUCGGGUAAGUUCCGACCUGCACGAAUGGUGUAAUGAUCCGGACGCUGUCUCAACCAUGAGCUCAGUGAAAUUGUAGUAUCGGUGAAGAUGCCGAUUACCCGCGAUGGGACGAAAAGACCCUGUGAACCUUUACUACAGCUUAGCAUUGACCUUGGUCAUCCGAUGUGUAGGAUAGGCCGGAGGCUUCGAAGCGGGAGCGCCAGCUUUCGUGGAGCCAUCCUUGAAAUACGGCCCUUUGGCUGUCUGAGGUCUAACGCGCAAUGCGCGGACACUGCUUGGUGGGUAGUUUGACUGGGGUGGUCGCCUCCAAAAGCGUAACGGAGGCUUCCAAAGGUGCCCUCGGGCCGAUUGGUAACCGGCCUUACAGAGUGCAAUGGCAUAAGGGCGCUUGACUGGGAGGCAGACAUGCCGAGCAGGCAGGAAACUGGGGCAUAGUGAUCCGGCGGAUGUGUAUGGAAACUCCGUCGCUCAAAGGAUAAAAGGUACUCCGGGGAUAACAGGCUGAUCCCCCCCAAGAGCUCAUAUCGACGGGGUGGUUUGGCACCUCGGUGUCGGCUCGUCACAUCCUGGGGCUGGAGAAGGUCCCAAGGGUUGGGCUGUUCGCCCAUUAAAGUGGCACGCGAGCUGGGUUCAGGACGUCGUGAGACAGUUCGGUCUCUAUCUAUCGUGGGCGUGGGAGUUUUGCGUGGUGCCGUCACUAGUACGAGAGGACCGUGAUGGACAGACCUCCGGUUUACCAGUUGUGCCGCCAGGCGCACCGCUGGGUAUCUGAGUCUGGAUUGGAUAAGCGCUGAAAGCAUCUAAGUGCGAAGCCAGCCGCAAGAUGAGAACUCCAUAGAGGGUCGUCAUAGACGAUGACGUUGAUAGGACGCAGGUGUAAAGACGGCGACGUCAAAGCCGAGCGUUACUAAUUGCCC
rnacentral:rRNA from 1 species